GUGUAAGUCAGUGGUGAAAUCUCACAGCUCAACUGUGAAACUGCCAUUGAUACUGCAUGUCUUGAGUAAGGUAGAAGUGGCUGGAAUAAGUAGUGUAGCGGUGAAAUGCAUAGAUAUUACUUAGAACACCAAUUGCGAAGGCAGGUCACUAUGUCUUAACUGACGCUGAUGGACGAAAGCGUGGGGAGCGAACAGGAUUAGAAACCCCGGUAG
rnacentral:rRNA from 1 species